UCCCUGGUGAUCUGAUAGUUAGGACUCAGCUCUUUCACUGCUGGGGCCCAAGGUUCAAUUCCUGGUCUGGGAA
rnacentral:tRNA from 1 species